GAUGAACGCUGGCGGCGUGCCUAACACAUGCAAGUCGAACGCUUAAACUGGGUGCUUGCUCUGCUUGGGUGAGUGGCGGACGGGUGAGUAAUACGUGAAUAACCUGCCUUUGACUCUGGGAUAAUCACGGGAAACUGGGUCUAAUACUGGAUAAGACAUUGCACCGCAUGGUGCUGUGGGGAAUGGGGUUUUUGGUUUUUGUAUGAGCUGACAUCGUAUCAGCUUGGUGGCGGGGUAACGACUCACCAAGGCGACGACGGGUAGCCGGGCUGAGAGGGUGAUCGGCGGCCUUGGAACUGGGCCACGGACCCGACUCCUACGGGAGGCACCAGUGUGGAAUAUGAGGCAAUGGGCGGAAGCCUGACCCAGUGGGCGCGCGUGUGAGACGAAGACCUUCGGUUUGUGAAGCCCUCCUUCGGGGUAUGAACCUCUGUCAGUACAUAAGAAGCUGUUGUGACGGUACCUACAGAAGAAGCACCGGCUAACUACGUG
rnacentral:rRNA from 1 species